GUUGUUGGGUAGGGGAGCGUUCUGUAAGCCGUUGAAGGUGGUCUGUGAGGACUGCUGGAGGUAUCAGAAGUGCGAAUGCUGACAUAAGUAACGAUAAAGCGGGUGAAAAGCCCGCUCGCCGGAAGACCAAGGGUUCCUGUCCAACGUUAAUCGGGGCAGGGUGAGUCGACCCCUAAGGCGAGGCCGAAAGGCGUAGUCGAUGGGAAACAGGUUAAUAUUCCUGUACUUGGUGUUACUGCGAAGGGGGGACGGAGAAGGCUAUGUCAUCCGGGCGACGGUUGUCCCGGUUUAAGCGUGCAGGUGUGUGCUCCAGGCAAAUCCGGAGCGCUUUAACACUGAGGCGUGAUGACGAGGCACUACGGUGCUGAAGUGACAGAUGCCCUGCUUCCAGGAAAAGCCUCUAAGCUCCAGGUAACACGAAAUCGUACCCCAAACCGACACAGGUGGUCAGGUAGAGAAUACCAAGGCGCUUGAGAGAACUCGGGUGAAGGAACUAGGCAAAAUGGUGCCGUAACUUCGGGAGAAGGCACGCUGGUGCGUAGGUGAAGUCCCUUGCGGAUGGAGCUGAGACCAGUCGAAGAUACCAGCUGGCUGCAACUGUUUAUUAAAAACACAGCACUGUGCAAACACGAAAGUGGACGUAUACGGUGUGACGCCUGCCCGGUGCCGGAAGGUUAAUUGAUGGGGUCAGCCGUAAGGCGAAGCUCCUGAUCGAAGCCCCGGUAAACGGCGGCCGUAACUAUAACGGUCCUAAGGUAGCGAAAUUCCUUGUCGGGUAAGUUCCGACCUGCACGAAUGGCGUAAUGAUGGCCAGGCUGUCUCCACCCGAGACUCAGUGAAAUUGAACUCGCUGUGAAGAUGCAGUGUACCCGCGGCAAGACGGAAAGACCCCGUGAACCUUUACUAUAGCUUGACACUGAACAUUGAGCCUUGAUGUGUAGGAUAGGUGGGAGGCUUUGAAGCGUGGACGCCAGUCUGCGUGGAGCCGACCUUGAAAUACCACCCUUUAAUGUUUGAUGUUCUAACGUGGACCCGUGAUCCGGGUUGCGGACAGUGUCUGGUGGGUAGUUUGACUGGGGCGGUCUCCUCCUAAAGAGUAACGGAGGAGCACGAAGGUUGGCUAAUCCUGGUCGGACAUCAGGAGGUUAGUGCAAUGGCAUAAGCCAGCUUGACUGCGAGCGUGACGGCGCGAGCAGGUGCGAAAGCAGGUCAUAGUGAUCCGGUGGUUCUGAAUGGAAGGGCCAUCGCUCAACGGAUAAAAGGUACUCCGGGGAUAACAGGCUGAUACCGCCCAAGAGUUCAUAUCGACGGCGGUGUUUGGCACCUCGAUGUCGGCUCAUCACAUCCUGGGGCUGAAGUAGGUCCCAAGGGUAUGGCUGUUCGCCAUUUAAAGUGGUACGCGAGCUGGGUUUAGAACGUCGUGAGACAGUUCGGUCCCUAUCUGCCGUGGGCGCUGGAGAAUUGAGGGGGGCUGCUCCUAGUACGAGAGGACCGGAGUGGACGCAUCACUGGUGUUCGGGUUGUCAUGCCAAUGGCACUGCCCGGUAGCUAAAUGCGGAAGAGAUAAGUGCUGAAAGCAUCUAAGCACGAAACUUGCCCCGAGAUGAGUUCUCCCUGACUCCUUGAGAGUCCUGAAGGAACGUUGAAGACGACGACGUUGAUAGGCCGGGUGUGUAAGCGCAGCGAUGCGUUGAGCUAACCGGUACUAAUGAACCGUGAGGCUUAACCUU
rnacentral:rRNA from 1 species